rnacentral:lncRNA from 1 species
CUGCCAUGAUGACGCCUAUGUGAAUAUGAACUAUCAAUAAUACUGUGUGUUUGUAUCUACAGGCUGGAAGGGGAAAAGAAAGAGAUGUGGCAGAGUCGUACUGAGUUCACCUUCAUCUUAAGUUGGUCCCCAGCAGUGAGCUCAGUCACAAAAGAGGAUCGUGUCUUCCCUGGAAAGGAGAAGAAUAUUUGGAGCCAUUACAAUUGUACACCAAAUAGCAUAAAACAAGAUGCAUUCACUCACAGUUUGAAAAUGUUGGGAACAGCCCGUGGCGAUGGAAUAUGAUACCGGUUCAUGUUAUGAGGGUCAAAAAAACUCAGAAUGCCACUCUCCAAGAUUUUUUCUUCUUGAGUAUGCUUAUGUUUUACUUUUAAAAAAGUAAAAAGAGAAAUAGCACCAAUGUAAAUGUCUGUAAAAGCCAAAAUUUCACUUACUUUGACAUUUCAGCUUUCCUUCCUAUUGUGUUGCCUUUCAAAGGACCAAUGUCAGAACUCAUUGGUUGUUGGCAUAGCCUGGCCAGUCCUGGGCAAAGCAUCAUACAGUACAGUAGUAUGAAAGAGACUGCAAUGAUCAAAGUGAAAAACAUAUGGUUGUUCUUCAUCCUGUGAACUUUUCACUGGAACACAGUUAAGUGAAGCUUGGUCUUAAAAGCAGAAAAUGCUGAUAUUGAUGGUACUGGAUAUGCUGCUACUAUCUAGAAAGGUAAAUGUUCAAGCUAAAUGACUAUAGAGUAAUAAAAGUGCAUUAAAUAAACAUGAAAACAUGCAAGUCAAAACAAUAAACAGAAAGUGGCCUACAGAAAGUGUUAGUCUAGGAGAUGAGCAAAGCCUUCAAAUAUCCAACCAUGCCAUUGUUAUUUUAUGUGCACAAACUAGUUGUACAAACAAGGCUGCAUAUGACUUUGUUUAUAAAUACUAAAAAAAUUGUUCUAAAAUAAACUGCAAAGAAAAAUGAGUAUUAACC